UACGUAGGGGGCAAGCGUUGUCCGGAAUCACUGGGCUUAAAGGGCGCGUAGGCGGGAUGGCAAGUCGGUCGUGAAAUCUCUCGGCUCAACCGAGAAACGUCGGCCGAUACUGCCGUUCUUGAGGGAUGCAGAGGAGACUGGAAUUCCCGGUGUAGCGGUGAAAUGUGUAGAGAUCGGGAGGAACACCGGUGGCGAAGGCGGGUCUCUGGGCAUUUCCUGACGCUGAGGCGCGAAAGCGUGGGGAGCAAACGGG
rnacentral:rRNA from 1 species